UAGAGUUUGAUCAUGGCUCAGAUUGAACGCUGGCGGCAGGCCUAACACAUGCAAGUCGAGCGGCAGCACGAGAAAGCUUGCUUUCUUGGUGGCGAGCGGCGGACGGGUGAGUAAUACAUGGGAAUCUGCCCGAUAGUGGGGGACAACGUUUCGAAAGGAACGCUAAUACCGCAUACUUCCUACGGGAGAAAGCAGGCUUAGGCUUGCGCUAUCGGAUGAGCCCAUGUCGGAUUAGCUUGUUGGUGAGGUAAUGGCUCACCAAGGCGACGAUCCGUAACUGGUCUGAGAGGAUGAUCAGUCACACCGGAACUGAGACACGGUCCGGACUCCUACGGGAGGCAGCAGUGGGGAAUAUUGGACAAUGGGGGCAACCCUGAUCCAGCCAUGCCGCGUGUGUGAAGAAGGCCUUCGGGUUGUAAAGCACUUUCAGCGAGGAGGAAAGCAGUAAGGUUAAUACCCUUAUUGUGUGACGUUACUCGCAGAGAGACCGAU
rnacentral:rRNA from 1 species